rnacentral:lncRNA from 1 species
AUUAACCUUCAGAUUUUCCUAAUGUUAUUGAAUUGGAUGAUUGCAUACGACAACCCAAAGCAUUCCCCACAAAUCCCCUACAUGAUUGCAUAAUAGAGAUACAAGCAAGAAUCAUUAAGUUCUAUGAAAACCAUAAGCAUUGACGAAGCACUUGUUACUAUGAUUGCAUGAAACUUAUGCCAAGAAUUUACUUAACACGAUUGUGAUCAUCAACCUUUACUACUUGUGAAUAUAAGUUCAUAACGAUUAGGUGAAAUUCCCUUAUAUCCUAGCAUCAAAUUCAU